rnacentral:lncRNA from 1 species
CAUGGGGGUGUCCCUGUCUCACUGUCCCCAUGUGGGUGUCCCUGUGUUGGCAUCCCCGUGUCACUGUCCCCACGUGGGUGUCCCCGUGUCAUUGUCCCCAUCUGGGUGUCCCCAUGUCACUGUCCCCAUCUGGGUGUCCCCAUGUCACUGUCCCCAUGUGGGUGUCCCCAUGUGGGUGUCCCUGUGUUGGCAUCCCCAUGUCACUGUCCCCAUCUGGGUGUCCCUGUCUCAGUGUCCCCAUGUCACUGUCCCCAUGUGGGUGUCCCCAUGUUGGCAUCCCCAUGUCACUGUCCCCAUGUCACUGUCCCCAUGUCGCUGCCACUGUGCAGGUGUCCCCAUCUCAAUGUCCACAUGGGGGUGUCCCCAUGUCACUGUCCCCACGUGGGUGUCCCCAUAUGGGUGUCCCUGUGUGAAUGUCCCUAUGUCACUGUCCCCAUGGGGGUGUCCCCAUGUCAAUAUCCCCAUGUCAGUGCCCCCAUGCAGGUGUCCCCGUGUCACUGUCCCCACGUAGGUGUCCCCAUUAUGGGUGUCCUGUCUCAAUGUCCCCAUGUCAGUGCCCCCAUCUCAGUGUCCCCAUGUCACUGUCCCCACGUGGGUGUCCCCAUAUGGGUGUCCCUGUGUGAAUGUCCCUAUGUCACUGUCCCCAUGGGGAUGUCCCCAUGUCAGUGUCCCCAUGUCAGUGUCCCCAUGCAGGUGUCCCUGUCUCAAUGUCCCCGUGUCACUGUCCCCAUGUGGAUGUCCCCAUGUGGGUGUCCCUGUGUCACUGUCCCCAUCUGGGUGUCACCAUCUGGGUGUCCCCAUCUAGGUGUCCCCGUGUCAGUGUCCCCAUGCAGGUGUCCCCGUCUCAAUGUCCCCGUGUCACUGUCCCCAUGCGGGUGUCCCCAUCUGGGUGUCCCUGUGUCACUGUCCCCAUCUGGGUGUCACCAUCUGGGUGUCCCCAUGCGGGUGUCCCCAUGUCAGUGUCCCCAUCUGGGUGUCCCCGUGUCACUGUCCCCAUGUGGGUGUCCCUGUGUCCAUGUCCCCAUGGGGGUGUCCCCA